CGGCAGGCUUAACACAUGCAAGCCGAGGGGUAACGCGGUCUUCGGACUGGCGACGACCGGCGCACGGGUGAGUAACGCGUAUGCAACCUACCCUUUACAGGGGGAUAGCUUUCGGAAACGAAAAUUAAUACCCCAUAGUAUCUACUUGAUUGCCUAAUCGAAAAAUUAAAGUUACGACGGUCAAGGAUGGGCAUGCGUGCCAUUAGUUAGCUCGGUGGGGUAAGGGCCCACCAAGACUAUGAUGGCUAUGGGGUCUAAAAGGAUGGUCCCACACACUGGUACUGAGACACGGACCAGACUCCUACGGGAGGCAGCAGUGAGGAAUAUUGGUCAAUGGGUGGAAGCCUGAACCAGCCAUGCCGCGUGCAGGAUGACGGCCCUACUGGUCGUAAACUGCUUUUACAUGAGAAGAAUAAUAGCCUACGUGUAGUUCUAUGCCUGUACCAUGAGAAUAAGCAUCGGCUAACCUCCGUGCCACCAGCCGCGGUAAUCACGGAGGGUGCGAGCGUUCUCCG
rnacentral:rRNA from 1 species